rnacentral:tRNA from 1 species
GGCCCCAUCGUCUAGUGGCCUAGGACGUCAGGUUCUCAGCCUGAAGACCGGGGUUCGAUUCCCCGUGGGGCUG